UGAGUUUUUCCUUGUAAUCUGGCUGACAUGUUUACAUUUCAAGAUUAAAUUACUCAAUAAAUCCUCAUAGUUAUCAUAUUUUUAAGCAAAAGGGUGAUUUAACCCCUCGCUCGCCUAACCUUUUCCCCUUGCGGUACAAGUGCACGACAUUACGCAAGGAGCGAAGUUGGAAGAGAGUAUGAAAAAAAUGUAGGUAAGGUGGCGGGAAAAAUAGUUGAAGC